GCCGACUUAGCUCAUUUGGUAGAGCAGUUGAUUUGUAAUCAUCAGGUGGCCAGUUCGGAAACCGGCAGUCGGCACCA
rnacentral:tRNA from 1 species